UUUUAUGGAGAGUUUGAUCCUGGCUCAGGACGAACGCUGGCGGCGUGCCUAAUACAUGCAAGUCGAGCGGACAAUUGAGAGCUUGCUCUCAAUUGUUAGCGGCGGACGGGUGAGUAACACGUGGGCAACCUGCCCUGUAGACUGGGAUAACUUCGGGAAACCGAAGCUAAUACCAGAUAAUCUUUUGCGUCUCAUGGCGCGAAAGUAAAAGUUGGGUUUUACCUAACACUACAGGAUGGGCCCGCGGCGCAUUAGCUAGUUGGUAAGGUAACGGCUUACCAAGGCGACGAUGCGUAGCCGACCUGAGAGGGUGAUCGGCCACACUGGGACUGAGACACGGCCCAGACUCCUACGGGAGGCAGCAGUAGGGAAUCUUCCGCAAUGGACGAAAGUCUGACGGAGCAACGCCGCGUGAACGAUGAAG
rnacentral:rRNA from 1 species